rnacentral:tmRNA from 1 species
GGGGGUGUCAGUUUCGACAAAGAACGUAUUUGGUCAUGCGCAGCGCCGAGCAUGUUCGCAAGCUCGUAAAAAACAUGAACGACUUGAAAGUGCCAAGAAUAAAAGCACCGGUGGAGUUGCGACGCCUUAUUUCAAGGCCAACAGCUUUGCUUUCGCUUACGCUUAAGUGAGCGACGUGGAACGGGAGUACUCCUGAUAGGUCCGUCCUCCAUGUCAUUCUUUCAGGAUAGGAGCGUACCGCCUGGAUACGCCACCAAAACCAAACAGGCGUAGCAUGUAAAGAUUUCGUUUUUCUUUUACUUUGCGUGCGAAUCACCAAGAUAAACUACGCGCCGUAGACCCAUGAUCACUGCUUCUUUGGACGGGAGUUCAAUCUCCCCACCUCCACCA